CUGAGUGAGGGCCUUCGGGCUCGACCUCCCACCCUUUGUUGUCCGACCGCGUUGCUUCGGGGUCGCCGUCUCUGGCGGCGCCCCGGAAGACCGUCCAAACUCUUGCAUCUCUGCGUCUGAGUCUUGUUAUUCUAAAUGACAUGA
rnacentral:misc_RNA from 1 species